UGCCCACUGAUGCUGCCCGAAGCCUUACACUGCAGACAAGAGCCAUACAGUCCCACAGCUCCGAACCCAAACCGCCACCUCGAACCACGGGCCGUGGCUGACACCCCACCGAGCUGCUGACUGCAGGAGGGCCGCUGCGGGAACGGCGCCCACCCGAAGCGCCGCGCCGCUCCGCCGGCUCCUCCCAAGGGGCUCGGGGUACGGGAGGGGAUGGCAGGGAAGCGCAGCGCUCCCGCGGGCGCACCCGAACGACUCGCGACUCUCUUUCCCCGCAGGUUCCCGCGGAGCGGCAGACCGAGGACAGCCCCGUCCCGCCGCCGCUCGCUCGCUCGGCCGUGCGCUACCUGCUGCGGCACGGCGCGCAGCUGCCCAUGUACGCCCGCGGCCGGCCGGCAGGUUUUAACUUUUAUACCUGGAAAUAAACCACGUGACCUUAACCCGUCCGCCCGCGCCGCCGACAGCUCUCACUCCUAGAUGCAAUCUCUUUUUCUACACACAUUAUUUUCGUACCUGUUAGCUAUUUAUAGAGUGCUUCGAUAGGACUGUUUCGACUGUAUAAUUAUUUACUAUUCAAAUAAAAGUAUUUUCCAAUUCA